UCCCGCUUAGCUCAGUUGGUAGAGCGCGUCACUAGUAACCGCUACAUGGUUAAUGACGAGGUCAGUCGUUCGAGUCGGCUAGUGGGAA
rnacentral:tRNA from 1 species